AAAUUCUUUUUUUAGUGAUUGGAAUGAUGGGAAUCCAAACCCCUUUCAGAGUAACAAUUGGAGGGCAAGUCUGGUGCCAGCAGCCGCGGUAAUUCCAGCUCCAAUAGCGUAUAUUAAAGUUGUUGCAGUUAAAAAGCUCGUAGUUGGAUAUCUGCUGGAAGCAGCCAGUCCGCCCUUUGUGGGUGUGCACUUGGUGAAUUCUGGCAUCCUCCUGAUUGGUGUCAUCAUCACUUCAUUGUGUUGGUGGCAGCUGUCAGGACCGUUACUUUGA
rnacentral:rRNA from 1 species